UUUCUGGCAUGGCGGCUCAAGACCGUUCAGAGGAACACAAAACUUCCAUUCAAGGAACCAAAAAUGCAGACAGCAGGAGUUAGCGGUCCAGGACAAAAGAGGGAGCUGCCUCAGAUUGGUGGUCAGUUGGAUGAGGAGCAUUGUAAAGAGAUCAUAUCCUUGAUGAGCCACAUCACUGACAGAGAAAUAAUCCUGCAGAAGAUGAAGGAAACCUUUGAGUAUAGACAGCACCUCAUCCACAAUCCUGAUGAGUCGGAUAAAUCAAGAUUUCUGCCUCAUUUUUGGACCAGAAACAGCCGACAAACUGCUUGAAAAGUGGCAUCCAUCCUUUAAAAGGAAGGUGAUCAAAGAAGCUGAGAGCCUUACAACCACCCCAGUCAUCCAGAGUUUGCUGAGGUCAUGCCAGGAAUCAGAACAAAGAUGAAGCCUCUGACUGCCCAGAUUGGGACAGUGACAUGGCAUCUCUCUUGUUACUCCGUCAUAUCCUGCCACCUCAGCCCUUUAAAAAGAGAAGACAAAAGAUCAGUGCAGCUCAGGCCAUGGACCAUCUAGUUGUGUUUCACA